UGGGGAAUAUUGCACAAUGGGCGCAAGCCUGAUGCAGCCAUGCCGCGUGUGUGAAGAAGGCCUUCGGGUUGUAAAGCACUUUCAGCGGGGAGGAAGGGAGUAAAGUUAAUACCUUUGCUCAUUGACGUUACCCGCAGAAGAAGCACCGGCUAACUCCGUGCCAGCAGCCGCGGUAAUACGGAGGGUGCAAGCGUUAAUCGGAAUUACUGGGCGUAAAGCGCACGCAGGCGGUUUGUUAAGUCAGAUGUGAAAUCCCCGGGCUCAACCUGGGAACUGCAUCUGAUACUGGCAAGCGUGAGUCUCGUAGAGGGGGGUAGAAUUCCAGGUGUAGCGGUGAAAUGCGUAGAGAUCUGGAGGAAUACCGGUGGCGAAUGCGGCCCCCUGGACGAAGACUGACGCUCAGGUGCGAAAGCGUGGGGAGCAAACAGG
rnacentral:rRNA from 1 species